rnacentral:lncRNA from 1 species
GCCUCCUCCUCGCGCCGCUCUCCGGCUGCCCUCCCGCCGCUCCCACCUCCUCUCCUCCCUCCUCUCUCUCCGGCGGCCUCCCUCGAUUGCUGGAGAGAAAACCAGCCCCCCACUCCAGCCCCUAGCCAGCGCCUCGCCGCGGCCCAGCCCGGACGUAAAGGGCAGCGAUCCGGCCCCAAAUUACCCAGCGCGAACGGGCGCGCGCGGCGACUCCUGGCUCGGGGCUCGGCUGCGCCGCGGGGCAGAGGAUUAGAGUCGCAAUUAGCUCCGCGCGCCCGCGCCUGGCGACAAAAACGCGCCGUUUCCCCUCCUUUCGCCGGGCGAUCCCCACCCGCCUCUCCCGAAGCCCGCGCCUUCCCGCCGGGGCCGCGGCCAGGACCCUCCCGGGAGCGGUGCGCCCAGGCCCCAGCGCCCUCCGCGGCCCAGCCCCCCGCCCCCCGCCGGCCGGCCACGCGGCGCCCGGGCCUCCUCCGGGCUCGGGGAGGGGGCGGGGGAGAGGCUGAUUUUAAUCAUUGUCAUUUCAUCUGAUGUAAUAUUUCCCCGGGCGCUUUCAGCUGGGCAUAAAUUUUCGGCUCCCAAAUAAGUAACACAGGGCACGUUUCUCACAUUUCUUGACUCCUCGGUUACAAAGAGGAGAGCAGCCGCCGCCGCGGCGCCCGGGGCUGGGGGCGGGACUUGGGAAGAAACUGGGCUGCCAGUCGGUCGGGGCUGGAGCGGAGCCGGGGGCCAGGCCGCCCCUCCCCCGCUCCCUGGCCGCCCUCCCAGGGUCUCUGCCCCGCUGCCCCUCUCCCGUGACGUCUGCGGACACGCGGUCGGCCGCCGCGGGGGAGGGACGCGCUGGGGCACCGGGCCGACCGCUCGCGGCUAGACGCGCCAUUUCCUUUACGCGCGCGGCGCGAUGGAGACGGCGGCAGCCAAGACUCCCCGCGGCCGAGGUCCGCGCCCCGGACGCCCCUCCCCAGUCUCCGCUUCGGCCGCCCCUUCCUCCUUUUCUCCCACUCCCACUCCUCCUCCCCUUCCUCUUCCUCCUGUUUCCUUUGCGCCCCGCCCGUGCCUCCUCCUCCUCCUCGGCGACCAUUUCCCGGCUCCUAGGAAACGGAGCGCGCGACUGGCCGGCACUGCGCCCCCGCCUGGCUCCAGGGACGCCCGGGCCGGAGACCGGCUGGGACCGCGGGGCGGGUGCGCACGGGCCGGAACGGCGCCUGGGUCCCGACCGCCGGCUCCGGCCGGGCCUGGACGCCCCCUAGCGGCCGCACUCCCGGGGUGGGGGGCGCUCGGGGUCGGCCUGGAGCUGGGGUGAGGGGGACUCGGGGUGCCAGUGGGAGGAAGGUGAAGUGGGGGGGGCUUUCUCCCUCUACUAGAGGACCUCGCGCGCGUGGAGAGAGCGUCCAGACAGCGCUUCCGUAACUUCUUUACGCGGGAAUCAGCCGAAACUUUCCUCCUAAGGGAAGGUUUUAUUUAUUUAUUUAUUUUCGAGUUCGAACUACAGGAAAAAGGGGGAAAUUUUCUCAUUAAAGUUACAUCCCUGCAGUUAGUUCAAUUAUUUGAUAUAUGCAGAAGAUGUUGUAAAUUUAUAGAUUUAAAUAGCUUACAAAGAUGCCGCAGGCCCCAUCAGUUAAUUUCCUUAAUUUAUGGAUUUUGAGCUGCUCCUGGAACAGAAAGAAGCCCUGGAAGUAGGUCAGGGAUCUGUGCAGGGGUUGGGAGGGGCUCCCGCGAGGCCCAAGGGCUGCCCACUCUGCUCCCUACGCCCCGGUACCUCCGGGCUUCCAGCUCCCAGCUUCGGCUCAGCAGCGCGCUCUCUGCGCGUUCGGCACGCUGGCCAGGCCCGGCCCGGCCCGAGAGGUCAGCCCAGCUUUGUGGCCGACUGUCCCAAGCACGACAUAGGAACAGCAAAGCCCUCCAUCAAUGCACAUCCCACUCAGCAUUGAGGGACCAGACACAAAUAGAAAGUGAAGCAAGUAUUCAAAUACUUUGAUCUCCUGUAUCCACCCUUAAAUGCUGGCUAGAAUCACAAUCGGACGAGGUUGUGUGUGUGGGUGCCCCCAACUUCAUGGACAGAAACGUCCUCCCCCGCCCCAGGCCUUUGUGGAGGGUGGAAUGAGGGAAGGUGGAGCAGGCUUGUGUUGGAGGAUGAGGGACUCACUGAAAAUCCGCUUGUCAUGGCUCCUGUGGCCCCCAGCGCCCCUCACACCUCUUUUGUCCCUCAUCCUAGGUGGCUGCGGUAACGCCUUUGUUUCGUGUUCAAUCUGGGUGAAUAUAUACAUAUAAAUUAAUACUUGAAAGAUUGGUAUAAGCGAAACUGUUUUAGGAAGCCACAUGGCAAUGUGAUUAGUAUGGGUAUUCAUGAUUUAACAUUUAUUUUCCCACUAGAUGAAGUUUCUAAGAUUUGCAAGGUACAUGUCAAGGACGGGUGUAUAAAUGGAUUUUUAUUUAUUCACAACUCCAAGACUAAUUGCUUCUCUUUGCCUCAAGGCCAUGAGAUUGGUUUUAAUAUGACACUUCAAAAGUAUUCAUGGAACUACAGAGCUACUAAGUGUCAUUGUUUAAGAGACAAAUCUCACCAUGGUACUGGUGACCCUGAAAAUAGGAUAUUCUACUUUAUUUUAAAUUCCUACGUGUUUUUUUAAGAGUUUCACUUUAUACCAAUUAUAAUAAAAAUGUACAAUUUAGUGGAAACAAGAACUGGACGACUUUUAUUUCCUUAGUACGGCUGGGGACUUUGUUUCUGUAUUCCUGAAUCCUUUUAUUUAAGAGCUGAACUUUAUACGUGUCAUUAAGAACAGUAAGUUUGGGUCAUAAUUUAUUCUCAAGUGUUUUAAAAGUUCCUAGCUAAAUGUCAGCCAUCUCUUCCACUGGGAGACUUGGAUAUGGACAGUGAUAGGUAUUUAAUGAUCUGUGGUAUAUAAUGCAAUGGUGAUGCAUUUUUUAAUUGAAAGAUGUAGAAUUUGGACUGAGAACAUAUUGAAACAUCUCGUGGAGUACAUCCUGUUUCAUUACUGUGGUUCAAGAGAUGACAUCGGACGUGAGUCCAAUCAGAACUUGCUCUAUCAUUAAGAGUUGACUGGCACUUAAGUCAUUACAGUUCAUAGUUUAAAAAGCAGAUUCAAACCUGUGCUCUCACACAGCGGGGCAUUUGCAGGAUGUAAAACCCAUGGCAAGACCUCAGGUUUCCAGAUGUUUCAAGGUGGCUUCCAAUGUGAUGUUGUUCUUUGUUGCUAUUGCUGUUUGCAGGCUAUGUUUAAAAAUUAGGAUCUUAAUAAGGAAGGGAAAAUGAACCCAAAAUGAGAUCACAGACUCUGCUGAACCCAACCUUCUCAGCAAGGCUAUAAUCAGACAAGCAGAUGAACAGACUGAGAGACCUGCCUGCUGCUGUCUCCGGGAGGGAGGACUGGGGUUUUAGCACCGGGUUGUCUCUUCCCCCACCCCCAGGCUUCCUGGGGUGCUGGUCAGUCCUUCUUAGAUCUGUGCUCACCUCAGGCUCCAGAGAUGGCUCCUGUACAGGCUAGGAAUAAGCCAGCCUGGACCAGAGCUCACGGUCACACCCACCUGGCCUCCGCCUCUACCCUGGGAAUCCCCCCAAUCUUCCCUCCUAGUUAGGACCCCAGAGAAUCUGGAGACUAAAGGGAGUGACGAAACAUGGGACUGUUAGUCCCCUCACCUGUCCCCUCACCCAAAUUGCCCUUGCCCAGUCCCUGGCACCACGCUCAGUGGGCACUCAGGACUCCUAGUGGGCAGGAAGGCAGGGGUUGCCUUUCUACCUUCUGCCAACAGCCUGGGUGUGCCAUUCUGAACCAAACCAACCCUGCCGGCCCUGGGAGCCAGCACUGGGGUGAGAACGAGACAAGACUAAGACCUCCUGACCAGGAAUUUUAACAUUUUUGCAGCCUGUGGGGGAGCCAGCAGCCCCCUAAAUUGCUCAAAACUGCAUUUGAGCCUUUUCCAUCAAAUUCUCAAAUGCUAUAUGGAUUUGGGUGCAAGUAGCAAAGGCUGCAACAGAAUAGCUUCAUGAUAGAACACCUGAUUCACAGAAUGCGCCUGGAGGUGAAUCAGUGGAUUGGAAUACUAUUCAAGGACCAGCUCUCCCCAGCUUUCCUCUACCAUCCUCAGCACGUUGGCCUGUUCUCAUGCCAGCACUUCUCUGGUCUCAAAAUGAACAGAGCUCAAAGCUUCACACCUGCCUGGACACCUAUAGAAAACAAUGGAAUUAUCCUAGUGGCUCCCACAGCCCUCCUUGUCACGUCCUAUUGGCAAAAACUGGGUCACAUGCCAAGUUACAAGCCAAUGGGACUGCUGCCCUGAACCCCUGGGAGGGAAGUGGGUACUGGGCAAAGUCAGACUUUCCCUGG